UACGAAGGGUGCAAGCGUUACUCGGAAUUACUGGGCGUAAAGCGUGCGUAGGCGGUUUGUUAAGUCUGUCGUGAAAGCCCCGGGCUCAACCUGGGAAUGUCGAUGGAUACUGGCUCGCUAGAGUGCGGUAGAGGAGAGUGGAAUUCCCGGUGUAGCAGUGAAAUGCGUAGAGAUCGGGAGGAACAUCAGUUGCGAAGGCGGCUCUCUGGACCAGCACUGACACUGAGGCACGAAAGCGUGGGGAGCAAACAGG
rnacentral:rRNA from 1 species